AGAUAAGAUAAGAUAAGAUAAGAUAAGACUUUAUUGAUCCCACAGUGGUGAAAUUUUGCGUUACCUCAGCUCAGGUAUAAUAUUUAAGGAUAAGGGGUUUUAUGUAUGAAACUUGGAACACAAACUGAAGAUUUCUUACACUGUGGUUUGUAACUCCCCUUGAACAAAAGUGCAAACUGGGUCCAGUUAUGUACUGGUGCAUGCUCAAUCAUCCAGGUAACUAAAUCCCAAAGGGUUGAUUCUGUAAGAUAAGAUAAGAUAAGAUAAGAUAAGAUAAGAUAAGAUAAGAUAAGAUAAGAUAAGAUAAGAUAAGAUAAGAUGUGUCUGGUGAUUCAGGGCUUGUGUGUGUAUUUUUUGUUUUUCUCGCGCUGACAAUCCUCACAGGUCCUCUGGCCCAUAAUUCUUGAUUGUAUAUUCUUCUGUAUAUAAUGUUUGUUGUGUCCUCUCCCUUUUCUUCCAUCUCCCUGCUUGUGGUUAUGUGAGCUCAUGGAAGUUUUGGGUUGCCGGAGGGAUCCUCCUAUGAGUCCCUAAGUGUUCCCGCACUGGAAGCUGCCACACCAGCCGUCACUAGCUGCAGCUGAGGGCCGCGUUUGGAGCUGGAAGCAGAGCACGUUUUUCUCAUGGGAGUAGAGUCACGGUGUGGGAAGAAGAGUUUUGGAGUUGCCUUUUCACCUUUUGGACAUUCUGUACUGCAUUUUGUCACUCACCUAAGUGACUUCUUCAAAAUCAGUGACUCCUCAAUUGGACUAUUCUGAAUAAAAAAGGGUUUUUCAUGCUGCUA